UGGGGAAUCUUGCGCAAUGGGCGAAAGCCUGACGCAGCAACGCCGCGUGAGGGAUGACGGCCUUCGGGUUGUAAACCUCUUUCAGGAGGGACGCGGUACCUCCAGAAGAAGCCCCGGCUAACUACGUGCCAGCAGCCGCGGUAAUACGUAGGGGGCAAGCGUUGUCCGGAAUCAUUGGGCGUAAAGCGCGUGUAGGCGGCUUGGUAAGUCUGGUGUGAAACUUGGGGCUUAACCCCAAGCCUGCACUGGAUACUGCCUGGCUAGAGUCCGGGAGGGGAGAGCGGAAUUCCCAGUGUAGCGGUGAAAUGCGCAGAUAUUGGGAAGAACACCGGUGGCGAAGGCGGCUCUCUGGAACGGUACUGACGCUGAGACGCGAAAGCGUGGGGAGC
rnacentral:rRNA from 1 species